AUUGAACGCUGGCGGCAUGCCUUACACAUGCAAGUCGAACGGUAACGCGGGGGCAACCCUGGCGACGAGUGGCGAACGGGUGAGUAAUACAUCGGAACGUACCCAGUAGUGGGGGAUAGCUCGGCGAAAGCCGGAUUAAUACCGCAUACGACCUAUGGGUGAAAGCGGGGGAUCGCAAGACCUCGCGCUAUUGGAGCGGCCGAUGUCGGAUUAGCUAGUUGGUGAGGUAAAGGCNCACCAGGGCUACGAUCCGUAGCUGGUCUGAGAGGACGACCAGCCACACUGGGACUGAGACACGGCCCAGACUCCUACGGGAGGCAGCAGUGGGGAAUUUUGGACAAUGGGCGCAAGCCUGAUCCAGCCAUGCCGCGUGUGUGAAGAAGGCCU
rnacentral:rRNA from 1 species